GACGAACGCUGGCGGCAUGCCUAAUACAUGCAAGUCGAGCGAACAGAUGAAGUGCUUGCACUUCUGACGUUAGCGGCGAACGGGUGAGUAACACGUAAGGAAUCUACCUAUAAGCGGGGGAUAACAUUCGGAAACGGGUGCUAAUACCGCAUAAUAUCUUCUUCCGCAUGGAAGAAGAUUGAAAGACGGCUCUGCUGUCACUUAUAGAUGACCUUGCGGUGCAUUAGUUAGUUGGUGGGGUAAUGGCCUACCAAGACAAUGAUGCAUAGCCGACCUGAGAGGGUGAUCGGCCACAUGGGGACUGAGACACGGCCCAAACUCCUACGGGAGGCAGCAGUAGGGAAUCUUCCGCAAUGGGCGAAAGCCUGACGGAGCAAUGCCGCGUGAGUGAAGAAGGCCUUCGGGUCGUAAAACUCUGUUAUAAGAGAAGAACAAAUUGUAGAGUAACUGCUACAGUCUUGACGGUAUCUUAUCAGAAAGCCACGGCUAACUACGUGCCAGCCGCCGCUGUAA
rnacentral:rRNA from 1 species